GAUGAACGCUAGCUACAGGCUUAACACAUGCAAGUCGAGGGGCAGCAUGAAUAUUGGCUUGCCAAUAUUUGAUGGCGACCGGCGCACGGGUGAGUAACACGUAUCCAACCUUCCGGUUACUCGGGGAUAGGCUUUCGAAAGAAAGAUUAAUACCCGAUGUUGUGUAUCUUUCUCCUGAAAGAUACGCCAAAGGAUUCCGGUAACCGAUGGGGAUGCGUUCCAUUAGGCAGUUGGCGGGGUAACGGCCCACCAAACCUUCGAUGGAUAGGGGUUCUGAGAGGAAGGUCCCCCACAUUGGAACUGAGACACGGUCCAAACUCCUACGGGAGGCAGCAGUGAGGAAUAUUGGUCAAUGGACGGAAGUCUGAACCAGCCAAGUAGCGUGAAGGAUGACUGCCCUCUGGGUUGUAAACUUCUUUUAUACGGGAAUAACAUGAGGUACGCGUACCUUAUUGCAUGUACCGUUAUGAAUAAGCAUCGGCUAACUCCGUGCCAGCAGCCGCGGUAAUACGGAGGAUGCGAGCGUUAUCCGGAUUUAUUGGGUUUAAAGGGAGCGUAGGUGGGAUAUUAAGUCAGCUGUGAAAGUUUGGGGCUCAACCUUAAAAUUGCAGUUGAUACUGGUUUCCUUGAGUACGGUACAGGUGGGCGGAAUUCGUGGUGUAGCGGUGAAAUGCUUAGAUAUCACGAAGAACUCCGAUCGCGAAGGCAGCUCACCGGGCCGGAACUGACACUGAUGCUCGAAAGUGCGGGUAUCAAACAGGAUUAGAUACCCUGGUAGUCCGCACAGUAAACGAUGAAUACUCGCUGUUUGCGAUACACUGUAAGCGGCCAAGCGAAAGCGUUAAGUAUUCCACCUGGGGAGUACGCCGGCAACGGUGAAACUCAAAGGAAUUGACGGGGGCCCGCACAAGCGGAGGAACAUGUGGUUUAAUUCGAUGAUACGCGAGGAACCUUACCCGGGCUUAAAUUGCGCUCGCUUUUACCGGAAACGGUAUUUUCUUCGGACCAGCGUGAAGGUGCUGCAUGGUUGUCGUCAGCUCGUGCCGUGAGGUGUCGGCUUAAGUGCCAUAACGAGCGCAACCCUUAUCUUUAGUUACUAACAGUUUUGCUGAGGACUCUAAAGAGACUGCCGUCGUAAGAUGCGAGGAAGGUGGGGAUGACGUCAAAUCAGCACGGCCCUUACGUCCGGGGCUACACACGUGUUACAAUGGGGAGCACAGCAGGUUGCUACACGGCGACGUGAUGCCAAUCCGUAAAACUCCUCUCAGUUCGGAUCGAAGUUUGCAACCCGACUUCGUGAAGCUGGAUUCGCUAGUAAUCGCGCAUCAGCCACGGCGCGGUGAAUACGUUCCCGGGCCU
rnacentral:rRNA from 1 species